rnacentral:tRNA from 1 species
GUAGAGCGCACCCUUGGUAAGGGUGAGGUCCCCAGUUCGACUCUGGGUAUCAGCACCA